AAAGUCGUAACAAGGUUUCCGUAGGUGAACCUGCGGAAGGAUCAUUAUUGAAUAAAACUGGUUUAGAUUGCUGCUGGCUUCAAGGAGCAUGUGCACAUCUACUCCGAUUUUAAAUCUCCUGUGCACUUUGUGUAGACCUGGAUAAUUUCUCAUUAAAACAAGCCUUGUGCUUUUUUUCUUGAAUUUUAGGACUGCUGUGUGAAAACCAGCUGUUCUUGUAUCUUCCGGUGUCUAUGUUUUUAUUUACACUAUUAAAAUGUAUCAGAAUGUUUUUAUUGGGCCAUUGUGCCUCUAAAACCAAAUACAACUUUCAACAACGGAUCUCUUGGCUCUC
rnacentral:misc_RNA from 1 species